rnacentral:rRNA from 1 species
ACGCUGGCGGCAUGCUUAACACAUGCAAGUCGAACGGUAACAGGUCUUCGGAUGCUGACGAGUGGCGGACGGGUGAGUAACGCGUAGGAAUCUGCCCAUCUGUGGGGGAUACCAGUUGGAAACGACUGUUAAUACCGCAUAAUAUCUGCGGAUUAAAGGUGGCCUUUGUGCUGCCGCAGAUGGAUGAGCCUGCGUUGGAUUAGCUAGUUGGUGGGGUAAGGGCCUACCAAGGCUACGAUCCAUAGCUGAUUUGAGAGGAUGAUCAGCCACAUUGGGACUGAGACACGGCCCAAACUCCUACGGGAGGCAGCAGUGGGGAAUAUUGGACAAUGGGGGAAACCCUGAUCCAGCAAUGCCAUGUGUGUGAAGAAGGCUCUAGGGUUGUAAAGCACUUUAGUUGGGGAGGAAAGCCUAUAAGUUAAUAGCUUGUAGGAAGGACGUUACCCAAAGAAUAAGGACCGGCUAACUCCGUGCCAGCAGCCGCGGUAAUACGGGGGGUCCGAGCGUUAAUCGGAAUUACUGGGCGUAAAGGGUCUGUAGGUGGUUUAUUAAGUCAGAUGUGAAAGCCCAGGGCUCAACCUUGGAACUGCAUUUGAUACUGGCAAACUAGAGUAUGGUAGAGGAAUGGGGAAUUUCUGGUGUAGCGGUGAAAUGCGUAGAGAUCAGAAGGAACACCAAUGGCGAAGGCAACAUUCUGGAUCAAUACUGACACUGAGGGACGAAAGCGUGGGGAUCAAACAGGAUUAGAUACCCUGGUAGUCCACGCUGUAAACGAUGAGUACUAGCUGUUGGAUUCGGUGUAAAGGAUCUAGUGGCGCAGCUAACGCGUUAAGUACUCCGCCUGGGGACUACGGCCGCAAGGCUAAAACUCAAAGGAAUUGACGGGGACCCGCACAAGCGGUGGAGCAUGUGGUUUAAUUCGAUGCAACGCGAAGAACCUUACCUGGUCUUGACAUCCUGCGAACUUUCUAGAGAUAGAUUGGUGCCUUCGGGAACGCAGUGACAGGUGCUGCACGGCUGUCGUCAGCUCGUGUUGUGAAAUGUUGGGUUAAGUCCCGCAACGAGCGCAACCCCUAUUGAUAGUUACCAUCAUUAAGUUGGGUACUCUAUUGAGACUGCCGCUGACAAGGCGGAGGAAGGUGGGGACGACGUCAAGUCAUCAUGGCCCUUACGACCAGGGCUACACACGUGCUACAAUGGGUAUUACAGAGGGCUGCGAAGGUGCGAGCUGGAGCGAAACUCAGAAAGGUACUCUUAGUCCGGAUUGCAGUCUGCAACUCGACUGCAUGAAGUCGGAAUCGCUAGUAAUCGCAGGUCAGAAUACUGCGGUGAAUACGUUCCCGGGUCUUGUACACACCGCCCGUCACACCAUGGGAGUGGGUUGCUCCAGAAGUAGAUAGUUUAACGAAUGGGCGUUUACCACGGAGUGAUUCAUGACUGGGGUGAAGUCGUAACAAGGUAGCCGUAGGGGAACCUGCGGCUGGAUCACCUCCUUA